rnacentral:rRNA from 1 species
AACGAACGCUGGCGGCAGGCCUAACACAUGCAAGUCGAGCGAGGACUUCGGUCCUAGCGGCGGACGGGUGAGUAACGCGUGGGAACGUGCCCUUUGCUACGGAAUAGCCCCGGGAAACUGGGAGUAAUACCGUAUGUGCCCGAGAGGGGAAAGAUUUAUCGGCAAAGGAUCGGCCCGCGUUGGAUUAGGUAGUUGGUGGGGUAAUGGCCUACCAAGCCGACGAUCCAUAGCUGGUUUGAGAGGAUGAUCAGCCACACUGGGACUGAGACACGGCCCAGACUCCUACGGGAGGCAGCAGUGGGGAAUCUUAGACAAUGGGCGCAAGCCUGAUCUAGCCAUGCCGCGUGAGCGAUGAAGGCCUUAGGGUUGUAAAGCUCUUUCAGUGGGGAAGAUAAUGACGGUACCCACAGAAGAAGCCCCGGCUAACUCCGUGCCAGCAGCCGCCGUAACAC